GGAACUCAGCAGAUCAGGCAGCUUCCGGUUAAGAUGGCGCUACUGAAUGUGUGCAACAGCUUCUAGUAGCCAAAAAGGAUGUUAUUCUUUCUUGCAUGUCUGGGAGUCGGGAAUUCGCAGGUCUUUUGCCGGGGAGAGAUGAGGAGAGAAGACGCAAUUGGAGAGAGUUGGUAGACCGCCGGAGUGGACUUGGAGUGAAGGUCCGAAGGUCAGCGAUGACCGGAGGAGGUCGAUGGUGGACGAACAGCCUUAUCACAGGCCAGGCAGCAGAUUGACACUCCAUUCCUAAUCCCAUUUGGAGAUCCACUUCACUGGAAAGACUUAUUCUGCAUUGCCACCCAGUGGAUUUUGAAUGAAGCUGCAUACUGAUUAAAAACAGUUCAAAGUUCAAAGUCAAUUUAUUAUCAAACUAAAUACCAUAUACUACCCUAAGACUCAUUCUCUUGCAGAUGUUCACAAUAGAACCAAUGAAAAACUACACACAAUAAAGACAACUAAUGCACAAAAGAAGAUGAACUGUGCAAAUACAACAAAAGAUAAUAAAUUAAUAAAUAGUACAUGAGUUGUAGAGU